CAUAGAGUGAUCAAAUCUCUCUGAAAUCCCUCUGAUGUUGAGGUUAGAGUCAAAAGAGGCGAAGGGUAAACGGAACUGUGAGGCUGCCUCACAGCAAAGCUUGGAUCCUUGCUUGUGUUAACCAACUGGAAGAUUGCUGUCAGGCACAGUGUGUUAGCUAUGUGGAAAGAGUAGCUCAGCUCCAAGGACGUCAAGAUGCUGGAAAUUCUGAGAGAACUUGACGUGGACAACGUGACCAGGCUCUGCUGUAGUUUUCACAGAACUAAAAUGUCAUUUUCCACAGGAUGGGGAGAUCUUUUACAAAAAGUAAGAGUGGACCAGUUUAAUUUUGCCUUUGAUGUGUCACUACUGCAAGGGAAACAACAAACAAAACACAAACAACAACAAAAAACCCACCAAAUAAACAAACGUGCCUUCA